GACGAACGCUGGCGGCGUGCUUAACACAUGCAAGUCGAACGGAAAGGCCCUGCUUUUGUGGGAUGCUCGAGUGGCGAACGGGUGAGUAACACGUGAGUAACCUGCCCUUGACUUUGGGAUAACUUCAGGAAACUGGGGCUAAUACCGGAUAGGAGCUCCUGCUGCAUGGUGGGGGUUGGAAAGUUUCGGCGGUUGAGGAUGGACUCGCGGCUUAUCAGCUUGUUGGUGGGGUAGUGGCUUUCCAAGGCUUUGGCGGGUAGCCGGCCUGAGAGGGUGACCGGCCACGUUGGGACUAGGAGACGGCCCAGACUCCUACGGGGGGCAGCAGUGGGGAAUAUUGCACAAUGAGCGGAAGCCUUAUGCAGCAGCGCCGCGUGCGGGAUGACGGCCUUCGGGUUGUAAACCGCUUUCGCCUGUGACGAAGCGUGAGUGACGGUAAUGGGUAAAGAAGCACCGGCUAACUACGUG
rnacentral:rRNA from 1 species